GAAACGCGAAAGGUAAUGCGAAGUGCAGAAGAAGUGAGGAAUUGAAUCGUUGAACGCACAUUGCGCCUCUCGGUAUUCCGGGAGGCACGCCUGUUCGAGCGCCAUUACAAACUCCAAGCGUGGCUUGAUGUUGGGCGAUGUCUUUUUGCGAGAGCGGAGACACGCCUGGAACGCGUUGGCGCCGCCGCCGGACCACGAGCGUAGCAAGACGAGAGUCAAUCGCAUCGAUUUGGAUUCCGACGGAGGUCCGCCAUGGGACUGCACUUUCGAGUGUAAGUUCACAACUUCUCUCAAGUUUGGCCUCGGAUCAGGCGGGGAUACCCGCUGAACUUAAGC
rnacentral:misc_RNA from 1 species